rnacentral:rRNA from 1 species
CAAAGGAAGCGAUUCCGGCGGGGGAUGGGCAUGCGGCGCAUUAGCUAGUCGGCGGGGUGACGGCCCACCGAGGCGACGAUGCGUAGGGGUUCUGAGAGGAAGGUCCCCCACACUGGUACUGAGACACGGACCAGACUCCUACGGGAGGCAGCAGUGAGGAAUAUUGGUCAAUGGGCGGGAGCCUGAACCAGCCAAGUCGCGUGAGGGAAGACGGUCCUAUGGAUUGUAAACCUCUUUUGCCGGGGAGCAACGGGGUCCUUGCGAGGGCCUGAUGAGAGUACCCGGAGAAAAAGCAUCGGCUAACUCCGUGCCAGCAGCCGCGGUAAUACGGAGGAUGCGAGCGUUAUCCGGAUUUAUUGGGUUUAAAGGGUGCGUAGGCGGGCUGUUAAGUCAGCGGUCAAAUGUCGGGGCUCAACCCCGGCCUGCCGUUGAAACUGGUGGCCUCGAGUGGGCGAGAAGUAUGCGGAAUGCGUGGUGUAGCGGUGAAAUGCAUAGAUAUCACGCAGAACUCCGAUUGCGAAGGCAGCAUACCGGCGCCCGACUGACGCUGAGGCACGAAAGCGUGGGUAUCGAACAGGAUUAGAUACCCUGGUAGUCCACGCAGUAAACGAUGAAUGCUAGCUGUCCGGGGCUUCGGUCCUGG